rnacentral:tRNA from 1 species
GCUGGAAUGGCCGAGUCGUUAAGGCGAGUGAUUUGAAUUGCUUAUGACAUCCCAUCACUUGGUGUUUCACCGCGUAGGUUCAAAUCCUGCUUCCAGCG